AACCAUCUUACUGGUUAGCCAAAGAUUCUCGCCCACAUCAGAGCACUUAUUGCUUGCAUACGGUCGUCGGCAUAGUUCACUUCUUAAAAGUGUUGUCAUUGAUGGAGAGGCAACAAUUCCCAUUUACACAAUUCUAGAGGUCUAUAGAGUUUCUGAUAUGGAACUUGUGAGAGUUCUACCAAGUGCUGAGGAUGAGGUUAAUGUAGCAUGCUUUCAUCCUUCAGUUGGCGGUGGCCUUGUCUAUGGAACUAAGGAAGGGAAGCUUAGGAUUCUACAGUGUGAUGGUUCUUAUGGCAUGAAUCACUCAGUGUCUUCCUUUUUUGAUGAGAACACACUUCAGGUCCCUACAUAUGCUUUAGAAUGCUAAUAAAGUGAUCAGUUACCAUUAUGAGAUAUGUCACUGAUGUUUAAGGUGAGAUGACAGGAGGCCAUAUAUUAUUUUUCAAGGAUAACUACGGAAAGACUCGAUUGAAUCUCAAUUUCCAUGCUGCAGUAAAUUCUGAACCACACCUGUCUUCAAAUGCUUAAACAGAUGUUUUGAUAUAGUAGUGAUGAUCAAUUUGUAUUUCUAAUUUAUGUUUUAUGUACCCUUAUCUUUAUCUGACAGACAAACAGGUUAGUCGAAUGUCAUUGCAUUUUAAAACUUUUGAUGCCUGAAAGACUUGCCUGAAUUUUGCUUGAUUAGCCUUGUGAAAAGAAUUAAUUCUAAUAGAAUGAUAACACUUUCUUUUGUAA